ensembl:lncRNA
GCGGCGGGUCUGCGAAGGAGAGAAGCGGGGGCACGUGGCCGCAGGGCCCCCUGCGUGGGUGGGGGCUCGGAAGGGGCUCAGCUGUGGGAGCAUGAGGCCGGGGCUUGCAGCUGGCGUGUUCCAGGUGGGGGCUGCAGGCCGGCCUACUCCUGGCGUGACGGGGUGACGAUCCCGGGGGCAGCUCGGUGCGGUGUGUGCCUGGCAUAGGGCGGUUAGGGGGCAUCUCGAUUUUACCCAUGUGGAAUGGUUAUCCCAUUUCCUUUUGAGGCGCAAAGCAGUGAAAUGUGAAAACCUUCCGAUUCCCUCUUCAGACACGUUUUUGUGGGCAGGAUUAAAAAAGUAGGUGAAGAGAGCAGAAUUCUCGCACUUGGCUGCAUGGCUUUGACAUGAAGGUUGAUGCAUGCAGUUUCAGUUCUUAAGAAACGUUCUGUGCUCCUCACUGUGUGUAAGUGCCAUGAAUCUUUAGCAUCUACUAACUUCAGUUCAUGAAAGUUGUUUAACUUCAGCAGUGUGAGGAAAUGCAUCUCUGUCUACUGCUGUAGAAGAAAUCUGAGCCCUUCAGCAGUAUUAUGCGUACUUACAGGGGACAAAAUAACAAUCUGCGUGAAGAGAGGCCAAAUAAUGACUUGUUCAUUGUUCCUACAUGCGGCUGAUGGGACUUCCAAAGCAUCAUGGACUUAAUUAUGCAGUUUUUGUCGACCAAAGAGCAAAAACUAUUAUACGUGUUCUUGAAAGUUAACCAGUGCAGGGAGCUGUGUGCCAGGCCCUAUGCAUCAGUCAAGGCACGUGUAUGGGAACUGUUGGGUCACGGCCUGAGCCACUGGUUGAGCACCUGAGGAAAGGACCUGGUCAACCCUGGGAGCACAGGUGAAGGCAGUUCAGCUGUGUGACCAGAAGGGGUGGAGCCUGGCUGCACCUCUCUUAGACCUCCUUGAAGGGCUGACUGCCACUGGGGAAGGAUCUCUUUUUGGAGAUCCCUCCUUGGUGAAGCUUUCCCUGCAAACCUGGAAUCUUCUGAUAUGGGUGAGCAAUCUUCCUUUCUUCCUUUAUAGCACCUCUCUGUCGUGCUGGUCCUUCCAUCAUCACACCUCUGUUGUAAUGCCUUUCCCAUCUUAUUGAUCUGUCCAACUGCUACAGCAUGCACGGAGGUUAGCAGGAAAUCGAGUAGAAUAAAAACUUCAGGUAUCAGCUGCUCUGAGAUUACGGCACAUUGUGAGCUACAUGAAUUUGCUUUGCAUUUAUAGUGUGAUAAGGACAGGCACAUACUUAGUUACAAAGCGUCUGCUGGUUUAUUUCGUGCAACCAGAUAGUUGGAUUUAUAAGAAUUUAUGCUGCUCUUUGUGAUGAUCAAGCUCUAUUAACUCAUAUCCCUCAGAUGAAAGCUGUUCUUUUUACUGGAAAAAGAGCUGUGAUUUUAAGCUUUAUAUGUUUUCAAGAAUUUUGAGGAAUCUCAGCACCUACUCAUUUCACGUGAGCUGCGGGUACUAAAUGCUCCUGAAGGUUACUCCAAGAAUUCAGUAUGGAGAAAUGUUGCUGAAAGUACAGUGUGUUUUUUAAAAACUUGUCAGUGCUGUUAUCUGAAAGAUGUGACAUGAACCCCUUCUAAGAGGCUGCUCAAGCCCCAAAACUGUGGAGAAACUGCUUUAGCAGGACCCGAAGGACUCAGGAGUCCUUUCCAGCCCUUGUGAUUCUGUGUGAAACAGACGUUGUUGGUUUGUUUCCUUUUUUGAGAGAGACAAGUUAGUGAUGUGGGUGGAUUAAAACAAAAAUGUUGAUGUGAUGCUUUAAAAUUACCUUGUUUGUGAAACCCAUAAAACAAAAAGAUGUUCUUUUAUUCUAAGAUGGCUUUGUCUGUCUUGGAACUUUACAAUAUGAAUUCUCCCCAAAAUGUAAGUAUUUGCAUCCUUCAAACACUUAAGAAGUAAAGGUGAGCUGGACUAUUAAUUUAGGGGUUAGGAUUCCUCACAAUGGGGAAUUUUUCCCUUUAUUUCAGUCUUGAAGAUGUAAUUGUCCAAGCGUUGCAUUGUUGUCUUUCUUGGAAACUGCUCAUGUGAUUUAGGAUGAGGAAAAAAGCUGCAUCUGGAGGAGUCAAGUGACCUGAUGUUAUUAAUCUUUGGAUUGCAGCAUUACAUUUCUUUCCAUCACUCUAUGUAAACAAAGUUCUCAGUAAAUUUUGGUACUUCGGUUCAUAAGUUCUUCAUUUGAAGAAUUUUCCUUGGUUUAACUGGAAUCCAGUAACUUUUCCCACUCAGUUUCUUUCCUGGCCAAACUAGUUGGAUGGAUACUUUUGUCUUCCUCCAGUGACCUGUUUGUAUUUCUCCCUUCUAUGGUCUCCAUUCUGUCAAACUAGGGGACAGUGUGAUUAAUGAACAUCUAGAAAUCUCACGCUCUGUCUCAUGUUAUGUGCUCUCAUUCCAUCUUUUAGUGCUUUUCCUGUAGUUAGAAAUAGUCUCAGAAAUGUAGCGUAUCUGCAGAUGUACAAAUGGGUGAUGGAGAAACCAGUUGCCUAGUAAGCCCAACUUUCAAGAACUGAUAGUUAAAGUUGUUGGAAAUAUUUUAGGGUAUUAUUAGAGUAAUAAUAUUCUCUUUCCCAUUUAGCAAAGUGGACUGUUGUGCUUGGAUGUAUUUCUGUUGCUCAUACACCAACUCCUGGAAAUGGCUUGCAGCUCUUAAAGUUUGCAGUUCUUUCAGUGCUGCCUUUGCUCUGUCUUCAGUUGUUAAGCUGUAAGAAAUAAGCUACAAGAAAGGCUGCUUUUUAACUAGGAAGUCAGCAGAAAUGUAUGGGUGUAAGUGUGGCAUCCCUCGCUGAGGCAAAGCAUUGAUCUUCAGCUUCAUUCAUACAGGUUGUCAGAGAUGUCAAGUAUUAAUGUCUUUAGGCCAUCAGCGUACAAGCGUUUUUCUUUUAAAGAAAUAGCUGGGUUUUUUUAAUAAUACUUGUAUUUCUUGUUGUCUGAAAACAGCAGUUAGUUUGCAACCAGAUGGAAAAACAUUUGCAUUGCUUUUCUGAGGACAAUAAUUUUAACUUCGUUCUUUAUCUGAGUCAUAUUAGAAAGUGUAAUAACUGAUUGCCAAAAGAUUUCCUUCUGCAAUGUGUUCUUGGGAGUUUUUCCUUGUGUUACAUGAGCAGUAUCAGAAGGUUCUAUCUUCUGUUUGUUGCUAAAAUUGAGGAAAGCUACCACCAUUUAUUCUGCAAAUGGCAUUUGUAGAGCUUGUUAUUUUACUACAUUUGAUGCUUAACACCUCAGUAAAUAAAGUUUUAAGUUUCAUAGAGGUGAUGUCUGCAUAGUGGCACAAAAAGGUGUUCCAUAUCUUAGAGGCAAUCUGAGGAUUAAAUUGGACAGGUAUUUUUGUGUCUCCUACUUUGUAGUGGAGCCCCUGUAGUUUGUGACUGAAACUCAGAGUAUCUUCCUUAGUGUCUUCUUGGGAUGGACGUUCUUGAGAAAAGUUUGUAUCAAAUCUACUUAGAUUUGUAUGGAAGAAAAAUUGAAUGCAGCCUCCUUUCCAAAGGAUAUGGAGUUGUGCAGUAGGUGAUUCACUUGAUGGCAGCUAAUGAAGUAUGCAGUGGCAUGUCAGGACGCUUGUUCCAUUGAGCAGCGUGGUCUCAUGGUGCUCAUGUCCAUAGUACUGUUAUGUCCUCAUGUGGUGUGGAGACUUGAAAUUGUGUUGUUUGGUUUGGGUUGUUUUUGCAGAUGUUCACUGAGGUUUCUGUGUUUGUACAGACCGACAGCAGCAAAGACUGACACUUUCAGAUUGUUGCCUGGAGUUAUCUGUAAAAGAGACAUGAACCCCUGAAUUGUUCCAGUGGGUACUUCUAGGUCAUAAAAUUGCAGUAGUUCAUAAAGGUGCUUAUCAGACCUAGAAUAUGGGAAUGCUUGGGAGUGAGUGUGCUAACAGGUCGUGAGUUUGGAAGAGAGCUGUGCUGUGAAGUCCUUUGUCUCUGAAAGUUUCUAAUGAAAUCUUGUUUUAGGCCACAUGAAAUAAGGCGGCUUUCUUUUCUGGUUUUCAGUGUGUUUGUUUCUCCACAUCUUAAAACUGCACUGUAGUUCCUCAAGUAAGAUACUCAACUGCUUUUCUAGUGACCAGAAGUGUGAGUUACAAAUGUGCAACAGAACACUGGGAAAUGUGAUCUGUGUUAGAAGAAUAAGCAGAAACUGUUAAGUUCUGGAACUUAUGAGUCUUCACAGGUACACUUUGGAGAAACAAAAUGGUAAUAAUGUUUAAAGAGCAGAAUAAGUAAUUAGAAUAGUUUCCUUCAGUAGUCCUGUGGCAGAAGCCUUGAACUGUCUGACAUUUAUUUUCAGUAAAAUAGAACAUCUCAAGGAUAAACCUUAUGCUUUUUACAAGUAAAUUCUUGAAAUUUUAGUUCUCUUCCUAGCUCACAAACUAUUGUAGUUAUUCUCCUUACCUUCUUUAUUAUUGCAUCAUAGUCGGAAUUAAUGCCCACAAAACAUAAAUGAGAAAAAAAGUGUGUACAUCUCAGCCACCUUCAUGCAACAUCUAAUGCCAGGAGAGUGGGUUGAAACUGAAUGGAGACGUGAUCUACUGCAGCAGGUCAGGCACACGUACGUGUUCUGCUCUGCACCCCAAAUCUUUGGCAGGCAGCUGAAGGAAGUAGUUGAAAAUAAUAAUUUCUUAAGUUAUUGCUUUAAAAUUUUCUAAAGGGCAUUUUCCAAAGUCCGAAGAUAUAAAAGCACACAAGAACUUUGUAUAAAACUUAAUAAAUCAUUUCAUUAAAUUUGAGGUGAUGUUUUAAGAAAUAGAAAUGGCAGUUGAAAUAGUUGUUUUAAACUAAUCGAAAUGCACAGUUUAUUUCCUGUUCCAUUAAUGUGUGUAGGAGUCUGCACUUUGGUGUCCACAAUGGAAAAAAAGAUCACUCUUGUUCACAACUUUUCAUGAGUAAUGACAGUGCUUUAGGAUUCUUUCAGGAACGUAAGAAAACCCACCUACACUUAGGGAAAUACCUGCUUGUCCUCUGAUUACCUUAUCACAAAGCUAUGUUAGUUGGUUGGUGGAAGAUAAGCUUUCUUAGAAGCUUUAAAAAAAAAUAAUAUACGUGUAUCUAGUUCUAGAUUAGUUUAUUUCUG